CGUGAGCCCACAAAAUCUCAGAGAGAUCUUCAACAUCUUCUCAAGCACAUCUGUUGAUGAUCCAGAGCAUCCAAAGAAUCGACAGAUAUCGAUCGAAGGAGUUCGAUCAGCAUCGGCCGUCAAAAGGGCUCUACAACGAGCUAGCACUCAUGAGGAGUCGAUCUGACCGAGAGCUUCGUAUGGAUGAUCCACAGAGGUCAGACACGUUGUGUGACUAUGUCAUGACGAUCAGACUCUCCCGAUGGUGAUCAAAUUAUGGCGAUCUACUACCCGCACAAAGGUAUAGUGAAAAAAUAUUUACUGCUCGCAUUUGAAUUCCAAAUUUAAAUGAAUGCAUGCUAUAUAUCAUAUUUAGAUCCUAAUGUAGGGUAAAU
rnacentral:lncRNA from 1 species